rnacentral:rRNA from 1 species
UACGGAGGGUGCGAGCGUUGUCCGGAAUCACUGGGCGUAAAGGGCGCGUAGGCGGCCGUGUAAGUCACCUGUGAAAUCCCGGGGCUCAACUCCGGGGCUGCAGGUGAGACUGCGUGGCUAGAGCACGGUAGAGGCGAGUGGAAUUCCCGGUGUAGCGGUGGAAUGCGUAGAUAUCAGGAGGAACACCAAUGGCGAAGGCAGCUCGCUGGGACGGUACUGACGCUGAGGCGCGAAAGCGUGGGGAGCAAACAGG